GCCAGUGUGGCAUAGUGGUUUGAGUGUUGGACUACAACUCUGGAGUUCAGAGUUCAAAUCCUAGCUCAGCCA